UCCAUAUAUGUCUUGAUAUUGAGUAUUACAAUGCCUUCACUGAGCUCACCACCUUGACAAGAGUCAACUUGUUCCGGGAACCUGCGCAUGCCCUCUGCUCCUUCAUAGCAGCCGCGUCUUAAUGCUCCACAAGUCACACACUUAUUGUCCAAGGCAAAUGUCUUCUAGCUCAUUGAUCUUUAGCAUGGGGGCAAUAUCCAUGAAAGUCAAUCCUGCAU
rnacentral:lncRNA from 1 species